UGGGAAUGUGACCCGCGAAUAUUGUUGCC
rnacentral:piRNA from 1 species